rnacentral:rRNA from 1 species
GUGUCAGCCGCCGCGGUAACACGUAGGGAGCAAGCGUUGUCCGGAUUUAUUGGGCGUAAAGAGCUCGUAGGCGGCUCAGUAAGUCAGGUGUGAAACCUCCAGGCUCAACCUGGAGACGCCACCUGAUACUGCUGUGGCUAGAGUCCGGUAGGGGAGCGUGGAAUUCCUGGUGUAGCGGUGAAAUGCGCAGAUAUCAGGAGGAACACCAGCGGCGAAGGCGGCGCUCUGGGCCGGAACUGACGCUGAGGAGCGAAAGCGUGGGUAGCAAACAGGAUUAGAUACCCCCGUAGUCC